rfam:Microgenomates (Daviesbacteria) bacterium GW2011_GWB1_41_5 TT67_C0049, whole genome shotgun sequence.
GGAGGCGUCGCAUAGUGGACUAGUGCGCUCGUUUCGAAAACGAGUAUCGGGGUAACUCGAUCAGAGGUUCGAAUCCUCUCGCCUCCG